UACAGAGGGUGCAAGCGUUGUUCGGAAUCAUUGGGCGUAAAGCGCACGUAGGCGGUUCGUUAUGUCGGAUGUGAAAGCCCUUGGCUUAACCGAGGAAGUGCAUCCGAAACUGGCGAGCUAGAGUACGAAAGAGGAUCGCGGAAUCCCGGUGUAGAGGUGAAAUUCGUAGAUAGUCGGGAGGAACACCGGUGGCGAAGGCGGCGAUCUGGGUCGAUACUGACGCUGAGGUGCGAAAGCGUGGGGAGCAACAG
rnacentral:rRNA from 1 species